CCUACGGGAGGCACCAGUGGGGAAUAUUGGACAAUGGGCGCAAGCCUGAUCCAGCCAUGCCGCGUGAGUGAAGAAGGCCUUAGGGUUGUAAAGCUCUUUCACCGGUGAAGAUAACGACGGUAACCGGAGAAGAAGCCCCGGCUAACUUCGUGCCAGCAGCCGCGGUAACACGAAGGGGGCUAGCGUUGUUCGGAAUUACUGGGCGUAAAGCGCGCGUAGGCGGAUAGAUAAGUCAGAGGUGAAAUCCCGGGGCUCAACCCCGGAAUUGCCUUUGAUACUGUUUAUCUUGAGUGCAGAAGAGGUAAGUGGAAUUCCGAGUGUAGAGGUGAAAUUCGUAGAUAUUCGGAGGAACACCAGUGGCGAAGGCGGCUUACUGGUCUGCAACUGACGCUGAGGCGCGAAAGCGUGGGGAGCAAACAGGAUUAGAUACCCGUGUAGUC
rnacentral:rRNA from 1 species